UGCCAGACUCCUACGGGAGGCAGCAGUGGGGAAUAUUGGGCAAUGGGGGAAACCCUGACCCAGCAACGCCGCGUGAAGGAAGAAGGCCUUCGGGUUGUAAACUUCUUUUACCAGGGACGAAGAACGUGACGGUACCUGGAGAAAAAGCCACGGCUAACUACGUGCCAGCAGCCGCGGUAAUACGUAGGUGGCAAGCGUUGUCCGGAUUUACUGGGUGUAAAGGGCGUGUAGGCGGAGCUGCAAGUCAGAUGUGAAAUCCCGGGGCUCAACCCCGGAACUGCAUUUGAAACUGUAGCCCUUGAGUAUCGGAGAGGCAGGCGGAAUUCCUAGUGUAGCGGUGAAAUGCGUAGAUAUUAGGAGGAACACCAGUGGCGAAGGCGGCCUGCUGGACGACAACUGACGCUGAGGCGCGAAAGCGUGGGGAGCAAACAGGAUUAGAUACCCCUGUA
rnacentral:rRNA from 1 species